rnacentral:rRNA from 1 species
ACGUAGGGUGCGAGCGUUAAUCGGAAUUACUGGGCGUAAAGUGUGCGCAGGCGGUCUCGCAAGUCAAGUGUGAAAGCCCCGGGCUUAACCUGGGAACUGCGCUUGAAACUACGAGACUAGAGUGUGGCAGAGGAAGGUGGAAUUCCACGUGUAGCGGUGAAAUGCGUAGAGAUGUGGAGGAACACCGAUGGCGAAGGCAGCCUUCUGGGCCAACACUGACGCUCAUGCACGAAAGCGUGGGGAGCAAACAGGAUUAGAUACCCUGGUAGUCCACGCCCUAAACGAUGAUGACUAGUUGUUGGAGGAGUUAAAUCCUUUAGUAACGCAGCUAACGCGUGAAGUCAUCCGCCUGGGGAGUACGGUCGCAAGAUUA